GACAGAGGAUGCAAGCGUUAUCCGGAAUGAUUGGGCGUAAAGCGUCUGUAGGUGGCUUUUUAAGUCUGCCGUCAAAUCCCAGGGCUUAACCCUGGACAGGCGGUGGAAACUACCAAGCUGGAGUACGGUAGGGGCAGGGAGAAUUUCCGGUGGAGCGGUGAAAUGCGUAGAGAUCGGAAAGAACACCAACGGCGAAAGCACUCUGCUGGGCCGACACUGACACUGAGAGACGAAAGCUAGGGGAGCGAAUGGG
rnacentral:rRNA from 1 species